rnacentral:rRNA from 1 species
UUCCUACGGGAGGCAGCAGUGAGGAAUAUUGGUCAAUGGGCGGGAGCCUGAACCAGCCAAGCCGCGUGAGGGAAGAAGGUACAGCGUAUCGUAAACCUCUUUUGUCAGGGAACAAAGGCGGGGACUAGUCCCCGGAUGAGGGUACCUGAAGAAAAAGCAUCGGCUAACUCCGUGCCAGCAGCCGCGGUAAUACGGAGGAUGCGAGCGUUAUCCGGAUUUAUUGGGUUUAAAGGGUGCGCAGGCGGAAUGUCAAGUCAGCGGUAAAAUUUCGGGGCUCAACCCCGUCGUGCCGUUGAAACUGGCGU